rnacentral:rRNA from 1 species
AACACCGGAUAGGGAAAUCCAACUGGAACGUGGAUUUCUUCAAAAGCAAUGCCUAAGGAUGAGUCGGCGGCGGAUUAGGUUGUUGGCGAGGUAAUGGCUCACCAAGCCGAAGAUCCGUAGGGGCCUUGAGAGAGGUAGCCCCGAGAAGGGCACUGAGAUACUGGCCCUAGCUCCACGGAGUGCAGCAGGCGCGAAACCUUCACAAUGCGCGCAAGCGUGAUGAGGGAACCCCAAGUGAUGUUGCAUUGCAAUAUCUUUUGCCUAGAGCAAAUAUCUAGGCGAAUAAGUGGUGGGCAAUACCUGUGCCAGCCGCCGCGGUAACCCAGGAGCCACAAGUGGCAACCACCUUUAUUGGGCCUAAAGCGUCCGUAGCCUGUUCUGUAAAUUUUCUGUGAAAUCGUUGCGCUUAACGUAACGGCGCGCAGAAAACACUGCAGGACUAGGGACCGGGAGGAGUCAGAGGUAUUCUGGGGGGAGCGGUAAAAUGCUAUAAUCCCCGGAGGACCACCUGUGGCGAAGGCGUCUGACUAGAACGGAUUCGACGGUGAGGGACGAAAGCUAGGGGAGCAAUCCGGAUUAGAUUUCGGGGUUUUUGGAAUUUUCAAUAUUGAAUUUUC